CUGUAUCGUAGCACACGGCAGAGGAUUUUUAUACCGCAUUUUUAUGGAUUAUUUUUGGCGAGUUGGAUCUGGUGCAAGAGGAGAUAAAAACCAGCUCUUCAAGGGUUGAUUGAUGAGGGGAGAACGGUUUGGAGAGAGGGGAGAGGAGGAUGGGGAAGAGCUGGAGCUGCUGCCCUCCCAGGAGCCUUCAUCCCAUCCCAGGAGCCUUCAUCCCAUCCCUCUGUGGGAUCCAUCCCAUCCCUGAGGAAUCCAUCCCAACCCAUCCCAUCCCAGGAGGCUUCAUCCCAUCCCAGGAGCCUUCAUCCCAUCCCAGGAGCCUUCAUCCCGUCCCAUCCCAUCCCUCCCAGGAGCCUUCAUCCCAUCCUUCUCCUCUGUGGGAUCCAUCCCAUCCCUCCGAGGGAUCCAUCCUAUCCCUAAGGAAUCCAUCCCAACCCAUCCCAUCCCUCCCAGGAGCCUUCAUUCCAUCCCUCUCCUCCAAGGGACCCAUCCCAUCCCAUCCCAUCCCAUCCCUCGGAAGGUUCCAUCCCUUCCCAUCCCAUCCCUCCCCUCUGAGGGAUCCAACCCAUCCCUCUGAAGGAUCCAACCCAUCCCAUCCCAUCCCUCUGAAGGAUCCAACCCAUCCCAUCCCAUCCCUCUGAAGGAUCCAUCCCAUCCCAUCCCAUCCCUCUGAAGGAUCCAGCCCUUCCCAACCCAUCCCUCUGAAGGAUCCAGCCCAUCCCUUCCCAACCCAUCCCAUCCCAUCCCAGCCCUCUGAGGGAUCCAUCCCAUCCCUUCCCAUCCCAUCCCUCCGGCUGCUCCCAGCGGAGCUGGGGAGGAGGAGGAGGAGGAGGAGGAGGAGGAGUUGGGAUCUCGGGGCAAUCCCGCUGUUCCCGCUGUUCCGUGGCCGUGGGAGCUCCUGAGCUGCCUCAGGGAAUUCCCAGCCUGGGGUGGGAUCCGCGUGGGGCAGGGGUGAUCCAACAAGGAAAAGUUCCCUGGAGCCGUUUUUGGGAAAGGCGUUCUGGGGCGCUCCGGCUCC
rnacentral:lncRNA from 1 species